GAAAGAUUCAUCGGAAGAGGAUGGGCAUGCGGCGCAUUAGCUUGACGGCGGGGUAACGGCCCACCGUGGCGACGAUGCGUAGGGGUUCUGAGAGGAAGGUCCCCCACACUGGUACUGAGACACGGACCAGACUCCUACGGGAGGCAGCAGUGAGGAAUAUUGGUCAAUGGGAGAGAUCCUGAACCAGCCAAGCCGCGUGAGGGAAGACGGCCCUAUGGGUUGUAAACCUCUUUUGUCGGAGAACAAAACCCGGGACGUGUCCCGGACUGCGUGUAUCCGAAGAAAAAGCAUCGGCUAACUCCGUGCCAGCAGCCGCGGUAAUACGGAGGAUGCGAGCGUUAUCCGGAUUUAUUGGGUUUAAAGGGUGCGUAGGCGGUCCGUUAAGUCGGCGGUAAAAUUGCGGGGCUCAACCCCGUCGAGCCGUUGAAACUGGCAGACUUGAGUUGGCGAGAAGUACGCGGAAUGCGCGGUGUAGCGGUGAAAUGCAUAGAUAUCGCGCAGAACUCCGAUUGCGAAGGCAGCGUACCGGCGCCAGACUGACGCUGAGGCACGAAAGCGUGGGGAUCGAACAGGAUUAGAUACCCUGGUAGUCCACGCAGU
rnacentral:rRNA from 1 species